GGGGAUGUCGGGCUUCGAUAGAAAGACACCAUUUUUAUAAGCGAGCCGAGGAAGUUUCGUUACCUCGUUAAUCAACGAAACAAUCAUUAAAUGCCAAUACCCAAAAUAGGUAUGCCUAUGCUUAUGCUUAAAUCUUAAGCUAAGCUAGGUAAAGGUAGGGCUUUGAAUAUCCCCAGUAAUUCAAAGCUCAAAAAUUCUGGGGUAUAUCUGUUAAAAAUUAUCCAGUUUUAACAGAAAAAAAUUUUCUGGAUAGCUUUUAAGAAACAGUUUGUUUAAUAUUUCUGUCUUAAAAGUCAUUGAAAAAUUAAACUACGCUCGUAGAGAUAUAAAAAUGGGCUUUCUAGAUGCGGGUUCAACUCUCGCCAUCUCCAC
rnacentral:tmRNA from 1 species